rnacentral:rRNA from 1 species
CGCCAGCCCGCUCAGAAACUCAAAGGAAUUGACGGGGGCCCGCACAAGCGGUGGAGCAUGUGGUUUAAUUCGAUGCAACGCGAAGAACCUUACCUGGUCUUGACAUCCCGGAGACCCUUAGGAAACUAGGGGGUGCUUCCAUCUGGAAGAAUCUGGAGACAGGUGCUGCAUGGCUGUCGUCAGCUCGUGUCGUGAGAUGUUGGGUUAAGUCCCGCAACGAGCGCAACCCUUGCCUUUAGUUGCCAGCAGUUCGGCUGGGCACUCUAAAGGGACUGCCGGUGUUAAACCGGAGGAAGGUGGGGAUGACGUCAAGUCCUCAUGGCCUUUAUGACCAGGGCUACACACGUACUACAAUGGCCGAUACAAAGGGCAGCGACACUGCGAGGUGAAGCCAAUCCCGUAAAAUCGGUCUCAGUCCGGAUUGGAGUCUGCAACUCGACUCCAUGAAGUUGGAAUCGCUAGUAAUCGUGGAUCAGCAUGCCACGGUGAAUACGUUCCCGGGCCUU